GAUAGCAACAGAUGGACACAUCUCCUCCCUCACCCUUUCUUUUUAUUGUACUCCAUAAAAAUGAAUCCCUUUCCUUAAGCUGAGAGCAUCUGUCUCUUGUGUGAGAAGAUUUAUUAUUUUUUUUUUUUCCUCUUUCUUUCCCCCCUCCCUCUUCUGUACUUUGUGAAGCUGUGUGACUCUUCAAGGUAAAGUGUGAAGGCCACACACACACAAAAUUGUGUUCAGACAAAGCACAAAAGCCUUGAAGGAGGCAAGUGAAAGUCAAGUUCUUCAAAGUCAUUUGCUGUCUGGUGCCAGGAACCACAAAAACAGAUGGAGAGUUGGAGAAAGAAGUGGUAGAAGAAAGCCUCUCAAGGCUUGCAUGACUGCAAAUGAAUAGAGUAGAAUACUUCAGUCAUUUGAGAGUCAUGUUACUGGUCCUGAAACAAAACUGUUGUGACAAGUUGUUGAAUGGAAGACUUUCCAAGAAAUCAAUCCUUCAUACCAGAAAGAUGUCCUUAUUCUUAGCAGUGUUAUGUUCACCCAAGGACAAUGCUACAAGGGUAUAACAAGUGAAGAGCCUUGGGCUGCCUUACGGCAAGCAGAUUCAUCUGAUUGAUGCCCAAACAAACUGCACUACAAUAUUUGGAGCUUCUUGCAAUACAAGAGUUCUUCUCCUAAAGCACUUGAAUCCCUUUCCUUGCAGGACUUCCAACAUUUUUACAGUGUAGGAGUUCCCUGUCAUCAUUAAGGCUGGAGCUGACUCUGGAGUUGUUGUAUCAUAGCCUUGCCAGGUGCUGACACGUGCUGACAAUACACUUCUCAUGAAGCAACAAUUUUCUAGAAAAAUCAGGUAAUCUUAGAUGCAUAGAUGUUUUAUUUUCUCUUGAAAAGUCAAGACAGUAAUAAGGGCAAAAAAGGGAAAAAUACUGGUUCCUUCACUUCACCUGGGAAUGAAUGUUAUAUGCAAGCAUCCUGAAGAAGAUGCUCUUAAACCAUUAAAAGGGAUGUGAACUUGGUGACAGCAACUAAUGGGAUGAAGAUGGAAAGUAUUGGCUGCAAAAUAUAAAUUGAGGAUUGUAUAGUGAUGCAUAAACACUAAGAAGACUCAAGACUUGGGUUAGACCCAAGUGCUCAAGACCUUCAUCGGGGAGGAAAAAAAAAAUAGUUGCAUGGAAAUCGCUUCAGUGGCUUGUCACUCAAGUUCUGACCGAAAAGUGACUGUGAUUUUUGAUGAUUUCAUUCCACAACUUGUGACUAGUUUUUUAUAAAGACAGAUUUCUUCAUCUACAGCUUCCUCAAACUGUAUUUGUCUUCCUUCUGUUAUUCAAAGUUUUCGCAUGUGGUAAGAAGAAAAAAAAUGUUUUUCCUAACAUUGUUCAGAAAGGCAAUUCUUUUGGUGCCUUCUCUGCAGCAUGAUAAAUACAGUUCAGUUUAGAAAUUGAAUAUCGGUCAUGGUUCUACAAAGCCUAUUCACAUCCCACAGCUGUUUUCAAAGGGUUUAAUCUCAGCACUUCUCAAGAGUUUGUUUUGUUUUGAGGCUCUCCUAAAGAAAGGAGUUUAUUCAAACUGGCCAGCUCCAACAGCUAAUGCAGCAUCUCUGAAACUGCCACUGAGCCUAAAUUAGGUUGUCAGAGUCAACAUACAGAUCUAGUGAGCCUAUUAAAAUCUUAAUAACUUUUAAAAUUGGACUCUGGGUAGCAAAACAUUGCCCUGUGUAUUAGAUCUUGAGUAGAUAAAUCCAUUAAGCCAUGUCUUAUUGCCUUUCUUCUCUUUGUAACGAACUGCCCAAAAGUGGAGGUUAGAGGAAUUUUUAGAAAUCUGAACACCUUUAAUAUUGGAACACCAUAAAGGAGUUGUCAUUGAACUACAUGCAACUCAUCCAAAUCAGUUCUGCUGUGUUAGGAAAGCUUCCUGCUUUUUAUUGUGUCCCCUUACUGAUGGAGUUAGGAUUUUUGUUUCUUAGAGAAAGAUUGUUGGUUUUAAUGAGGCAAAGUAUGGGGAAGACAGCUGUAGUGCUUGUUUGUUGCCUGUUACUUAAGAGCCCAUGGUCCGAUCCUGAUCUUAGGAAAGGAGCUGUCAAUUACAUCUAAAGUCAGACUUUACUGUUUCAGCUUUAGUUUUGUGCAUGAGGACGUUACUUGAGUCCAGUAAAGUUAUAUUACUUUCUCCUUCUGCUUCCUUCUCUCCCUUCAAUAAAGUGACAGAUAACUGACAGAUGGCAAUAUCUAUAAUGCACUGCCAUAAAUUGAAGAAGGAAACUCCGAUUUACUCUGAACAAGAAGGAAAAUUCUUAUGCCACAGUUCUCACAUACCACUGAAGUUCUCCUUCAUUAAUGGAUGCGAGUGGGAGGUCAAAAUUGAACUUUUUAAUGGGAACAAAGUUGCAGCCUUAAUUAUGGAGGAAAUUUAGAUUACUCAUAAUAAUCAACCUAAGUUUGAAUGUUAAGUUUGACUGGCAGAAAAACAUCUGUCAUCAUUAUUACUAUGUAUGAGACUAAAUCCAUUUGCAGACAAGUACCAAGUGAUUAGACAGAACUAGGAGAAGUAAAAGGACUUGGGAGAAAUUCCUUGUAAUUCUCUUCUGUCAAGAAGGAUAAUUAGUGGCCUUUAGGAUAUUUCAGCCAGUUGUAAUGCUCUCAGAAAGCAAAUUAAAUAAAACCAAACGUGGUCAUUUAUGACAGCAGUAACUGUAAUGAGCCCUUUCAGUGUGCUGUACUGUGCUCUCUGCAUUGUCAUUUAUCUCAGUGCAAAGUGGAUAUUAACAGAGAAUCUUUUAUUUGUACAGCAAUUAAUAACUAAAGGUGCAAAAGAUGAGCUAUGUACACCACAUGUAACACACUGUUCACAUUCAUGAUUUAGAUGAAUAAAUGUUUUGGGAUGCAGUUGUCAA